ACAGCAGAGAGCUGGCCUGGAAGAGGGGCAACCGGGACAGAAUCCGGCGCCCCAACUGGGACUAGAACCCGGUGUGCCGGCGCCGCUAGGCGGAGGAUUAGCCUAGUGAGCCGCGGCACCGGCCCAAAAAUAACUCCUAUAAAUGUUAAUUCAAAUCAAUAGUUCCAUGAUGCCAGCAUCACAGACUGCCAGUAUCUUUCACUAUUACUCUCUUGUUAGAUACGACGAUUAGUUUUCAAGUUUAUUUUGUGCCUGAUAUAUUUUAAGUUGAUAUAAACAUCACAUCUCUGUGCUUCUAUCAUACUAAAAUGAUGAACAUUCAUUCUAUUUUUUUUCUGUAGAAACCAAUGAAAUUUGCUAAAUAAAUAUUUCUAAUAUUUUCUGCAGUGAAGUAAAUGAGAAACUUAGGUGAACUUGGCUCUCCAUAAAAUGAAGUCAGCCAGAUCAAGUGUAAGCAUUGCUGGCUAUCUGUCAUGUAGGAUAUAGAGAUGGUUUCUGGUCACUGAAGCUUAAAUGGGAGGCUUGAUUGACUAACGAUAUUUGCUAUGGACACAGAGAAGAGGCUGGUGCACAAGUCUGGGUUGGAGCUGGCAUUUCCUCUGAGACUGGAAUGAUGUGCUAUAUUUGCAUAGAGGAAGAAGAGAAAGUGAGGAGAGUAGCAAGAUGAAAAAUGAAUGUGCAAGUAUGCGGCACAUUAAGGAGAUCAUUCUGAGCCAAAGAGGAGGUAAACCCCACAGCCAGAGAAAGUGUCCUUGGGAGAGACACAUCAAGAAGACACAGGAUCAAGAGAGGUAGAGAUUGGACUGAUGCGGCUACAAGCCAAGGAAGCAAAGUAUUGUCUGUAACCACAAGAAGCUGGAGAUUCAAGAAAAGAUUCUCCCGUAAAACCUUGAGUGGAAGUGGGCUCUGCCAACACUUUGCUUUUGAACUUCUGGCCUCUGGAACCGUGAGAGAAUAAGUGGCUGUUGUUUUAAGCUACCCAGAUUCUGGUAAUUUGUUACAGCAGCCACAGGGAACUAAUCGAGUGAGUGAAAGGAAUUGAGAGCAUCUUGUUUCCUUCCCGAAGAAUUAGGAGCUGGCACCCAGACAAACCUUUGAAGUAGGCAAAAUUUGUCUUUGGCAUAUUUCCAUCUCCCUGGUUGUGAUACUGGUAAUAUGGAUGAAUUUUCUUUUUAGCUCCCUCCAGGCCCAGUUAUUUCUAUCAGCACCUUUAUCCCAGACUCUUACUAACUCUUUUCCUCUUCUGUCAAAAUUCCCUCUCCUCCGACUUCUUUACAUAGAAGAAAGGUUUUGAAGAUGUCAGCAAUCACGUGUGCCAACCUACAACUACAUCUUAGGUUGGUUUCUUAGAAGCAGAGCCUCAGGUGAGGAAUUUUGCUGAAAUUAUUUAUUGAGGCACUGAUCUCAAGAGAAAGGAGAACAAAUGUAGGAUCAGGCAUGGAAGAAGCUUAGCAAAAGAUGUGGGUCUGUGAGGUCCAACCUCAACCUGAUUCCACCUACAGAGACUUUUAAAAAAGAUAGAUUUGACUUUUUGAGGAGUUUUAAUUCACAACAAGAUUGAGCAGAAAGUACAGGAGCACAUGCAAAUCCCCCCAUCAGAGUGUUUUAUUUGUUCCAGUUGAUGAAGUUGCACAGACACAUCGUUAUCCCCCAAAGUCCAUGGUUUACAUUAGGAUUCACUUUUGGUAUUGUACAUCGUAUGGGUUAUAACAAAUGUAUAAUGUCAUAUAUCUACCACUAUAAUCUAAUUCAAAGUGGAUUCUCUGCCCUGGAGAACUUGUGCUCUGGCUCUUCAUCCUCCCAUUUCUCAACCCUUGAAACCACUGAUCCUUUAGUAUUUCCACAGAAGUAUUUUCCAGAAUGUCAUAUUAUAGAAACCAUAUAGGACACAGUCCUUUCAGGUUGGCUUCGUUCCUACAUUUCUUUUCAUGACUUAACAGCUGAUCAAUUCCUAGUGCUGAAUAAUAUUCCACUGCAUGAAUAUGCCAGAGUUUAUUUAACUAUUCCCCCACUGAAGGAUAUUUUGACUACUUCCAAGUUAGGACAAUUAUAAAUAAAGCUCUUAUAAACAUACAUAUGAAGGAGUUUUUUUUUAGAGUGUGAAUUUUACUUAGUAUUAUUAUUAUUUAUUUAUUAAGAGACAGAGGGAGAGAGAGCUUUCAUCUGCUGGUUCACUCCCAAAUGUCUACAACUUCUGGGUCUGGGCCAGUACCAGAGCUCAAUCAUGAAAGGGAACCCAGGGCUCCCACAUAGGUGGUAAGAAUUCAAUUACUUCAACCCCAAAACUGCCUCCUAGAAUCUGCAUUGACAGGAAGAUGGAGUCAAAGGAGCCAGAGCUGGAAAUUAAACCCAGCUGCUCUGAUGUAUACUAUGAGUGUUUUAACAGUUAAGCUAAACAUGCAGUCCUGCAUUCAGGAUUCUGUGUGUGCCUAAGCUUUCAAUCACUUUGGUAAAUACCAUGAUUUCUGGAUGAUAUAGUAAGACUAUAUUUAGGUUUGUAAGAAACUGCCAAACUGCCUUCCAAAGUGGUUGUAUUCUUUUAUAUUCCUAACAGUGAAGAAUAUCAGUUGUUAUUGCCUACAUCCUCACCAGCAUAUGCAUCAGCAUUUUGGAUUUUUACUAUCCUAAUAAGAUUGCAGUAUUUUUUAAUUUUUCAAUUCCUAAUGGCAUAUGAUGUUGGACACCUUCUCACAUGCUUAUUUUCAAUCUGUUUAUCCUCUUUGGUGAUGUUCAGGUCUUCUGCUUAUUUCUUGUGUGGGUUGUUAAUUUUCUUAUUUUUGUAUUUCAAGUCUUGCUUGUAUAUUUUAGAUAACAGUCUUUUAUCAGAUGCCUCUAUUGCAAAUAUUACCCCUGCCCCAGUCUAUGGUUUUAUCUUCUAGUUUUCUUGAGACACUACUUUUUCACACACAGAAUUGAGGAAGAUGUGCUGCAAAAUCAAGCCAUCCAUUAGGCACAGGAAGUCUUAUCUAACAUCUGAGGGACAUUGUAUGUGGAAAGGUGCAGGUGUGGACCCAACAGCUGACACCAAAAGCAGCUAGGAGAUGAGUGUUCUGGCCCCCAAGAAGAGAUAUGGGUGGAGUCCCAGAGCACCUGCUGAAAGAAGUGGGUCUAAGCAUGAGUGGCCAGUUUAAUAUCUGUGCCUCUCUGCUUUACAUCCUUUAGCAUAUGUAGGUGACCCAGGGCCAACAGUGCAGAUGCCAGGUGAUAUCUGUCUCAAGAGGUUAACUGGUCACUAAGGUGAUGAUAGAUUAUUCCUCCUAAGAAUAUGUCAAGAUACAUGAUGGGAAAAUAAGUAGGUAAAUAGAAGUAGACAGAUCCAGAGCGGCAUGUGCCUCACAUUAAUGAAGGAACAAGAGAUAAUUCAACGCCAUGGAGUCCUGCUCUUCUGCUCCCCACAAAAUUUGGUCCUUCUUAUAAAUUGGCUCAGGAGAAAUUCCUGAAAAUGUUUUAUUUCCAUAUCAUUAUUACAAUUACCAUUAUUUGGGUUCAUGUGAAUAGGCCUCCGUCUCUAAUACCUAAACAGAUUGAUAGUGUAAAAUGACAGGCUAAAUAAUUUGGAAGAAAGCAUUUGGGUACAACGUGAACGGAUAAUGAAGUCUUAAAGUCUCCAAACAAUCCAUUGUUUAAAUGGAAACAUUAAUACUUCAAAGACAAUGGUUAAUGACUGAAUCCUCAGGUAACUCAGAUAUACUUCGUGGCCAAAUUUUAUUGUGUCCUUCCAUUUAUUCAUUACACAAGUGCUAACUGAGUGCUUCUUUUUCAUCAGGUUCUGUACCACAUGCUUGGGUUUCCACAGUCUGUAAACCCAAGCACAUUAGAUGUUGCAGAAGAUGUUACAGACUGAGCUACACCAACUGCUUUAUGUGAAUAAAGAAAUGAAGAUACUCACAAGGAAAGUCAUUAAGUUUUAUUACUGAAGCACAAGCAAAGCAUUACUCAUCCCAUGCCAACCAACACAACCGGAGUCAGGACAAAUGGUCACCUCCCUUGGAACAUGUGAAAUGAUAAACAAAGCACAAGAAGUUGGUGUUCUGGAUUCGUGCAUUGCCCAGGACUAACAUAAAAGCAGUCUGUUGCAGUUUAAUUGCAGCACGUCUUUCUUUUUAUCAGGACAUGUGCUUUUUCCCAUGAACAGAGCAGAGCAUAACAUUUUGUGAAACAUAGUGCAAGGCAAGGGCAUAUUUGUUCUUAAAAGAAAUCAUUUUGGGAAAUGGCUUAAUGGGUCAUGAAAUUUGGAUGAUGAAACUAUCAGGAACGCACCUGAUGGCAACAUAAUUUGAUUUAUUUAGCUUCUUGCAGAAAACAAGAGUAGAAUUCAUUGGAAGCUUGGGAAGAUUUGUUAGGGAGGGUUGUGGGGGAGGACUUCUGAUAGAAUUUGAGCUUUGCUUUGUGUGCUUGGAAGGAAAAAUUGGACCAGUUACUAAUCUACAGUAUUUUAGAAGGUACUAUAUUUUUUUCAGCGCUAAUAAUCAAAAUAAUUAAUUGUGACCAUUUUGUUUUACUUACAGGACUGCAGUUUUGGAUUUUUGGUUAAAGGUUCUGGUUUUUUUAAAAAUGUUACUUUGAAUUGUAGGAGCAGAAGAAGGCAUUUUUAAAAUACAUUUUU